rnacentral:lncRNA from 1 species
GUACUUGUGAAAGAACGUGCCAGGUUAAAAUGGAUAAUUGAUGGGAAAUAUUUGUACUAUGCACCUAGCACUGUUGUAAUGCUAGUUAAGUUACACACCAGAAGUCCAGAUUCCAGGUUCAAGCGAUUCUCCUGCCUUAGCCUCCCAGGUAGCUGGGAUUACAAGUAUGCACCACCAUGCCCAGCUACUUUUUGUAUUUUUAGUAGAGUCAGGGUUUUGCCAUAUUGGCCAGGCUGGUCUCAAAUCUCCUGGCCUCAAGUGAUCUGCCUGCCUCAGCCUC